GGCAGGUGAUGACUCCAUUUGGUCUCGUUCGUCUGAUUGGCUUGCGCCUUGAUGACAAGUCUACAUAUCACCACCCAUCGUCUGAUGCC
rnacentral:snoRNA from 1 species